CAGACAUCAGCAGCCUGGAGUCAUGUUGAUCAGACAUGGGAGUGAGCUGUUCAUGGGCACCUGCUAAGCACAGCCAAUACAAUUCUGGAACAAGCUGCCAACACUCCAGUCCUUCUGAAUGGCAUUUGGGAGUGAGGGACACAAGAAGUGCUAUAUGAAGCAGUCUGGGGACCUCAGGGCCGGAAUCAGCUGGUGCAGAAGAAGUUGGCAGAUGUGGUGAAGAAGAUCUCGCUGGGGCUCCACGCCUGCCUGCACCUCAGCUGCCUCAAGAACAAGGGCAGGAAGGCGCUGUGCAUGGUGAGGGACACACAGAACAUGCU